AUUGAACGCUGGCGGCAUGCCUUACACAUGCAAGUCGAACGGUAACAGGUUAAGCUGACGAGUGGCGAACGGGUGAGUAAUAUAUCGGAACGUGCCCAGUCGUGGGGGGUAACUGCUCGAAAGAGCAGCUAAUACCGCAUACGACCUGAGGGAGAAAGCGGGGGAUCGCAAGACCUCGCGCGAUUGGAGCGGCCGAUAUCAGAUUGGGUAGUUGGUGGGGUAAAGGCCUACCAAGCCUACGAUCUGUAGCUGGUCUGAGAGGACGACCAGCCACACUGGGACUGAGACACGGCCCAGACUCCUACGGGAGGCAGCAGUGGGGAAUUUUGGACAAUGGACGCAAGUCUGAUCCAGCCAUGCCGCGUGCGGGAAGAAGGCCUUCGGGUUGUAAACCGCUUUUGUCAGGGAAGAAAAGGUUCUGGUUAAUACCUGGGACUCAUGACGGUACCUGAAGAAUAAGCACCGGCUAACUACGUGCCAGCCGCCGCUGUAAGAC
rnacentral:rRNA from 1 species